rnacentral:tRNA from 1 species
GCCUCGGUAGUUCAGUCGGUACGAAUGCUCGCUUGGUAAGUGAGAGGUCGUGGGUUCAAUUCCCACCCGAGGCUCCA